UACGUAGGGUGCAAGCGUUGUCCGGAAUUAUUGGGCGUAAAGAGCUCGUAGGCGGUCCGUCACGUCGGCUGUGAAAACCCGGGGCUCAACCCCGGGCCUGCAGUCGAUACGGGCGGACUAGAGUUCGGCAGGGGAGACUGGAAUUCCUGGUGUAGCGGUGAAAUGCGCAGAUAUCAGGAGGAACACCGGUGGCGAAGGCGGUUCUCUGGGCCUUACCUGACGCUGAGGAGCGAAAGCGUGGGGAGCGAACAGG
rnacentral:rRNA from 1 species